rnacentral:rRNA from 1 species
AUUGAACGCUGGCGGCAUGCCUUACACAUGCAAGUCGAACGGCAGCACGGGGCAACCUGGUGGCGAGUGGCGAACGGGUGAGUAAUGCAUCGGAACGUACCUUUCAGUGGGGGAUAACGUAGCGAAAGUUACGCUAAUACCGCAUAUUCUGUGAGCAGGAAAGCAGGGGAUCGCAAGACCUUGCGCUGAUUGAGCGGCCGAUGUCAGAUUAGCUAGUUGGGGAGGUAAAGGCUCACCAAGGCGACGAUCUGUAGCGGGUCUGAGAGGAUGAUCCGCCACACUGGAACUGAGACACGGUCCAGACUCCUACGGGAGGCAGCAGUGGGGAAUUUUGGACAAUGGGGGCAGCCCUGAUCCAGCCAUGCCGCGUGAGUGAAGAAGGCCUUCGGGUUGUAAAGCUCUUUCGGCCGGGAAGAAAUCGCACGGGCCAAUACCCUGUGUGGAUGACGGUACCGGAAUAAGAAGCACCGGCUAACUACGUGCCAGCAGCCGCCGUAACAC